GACGAACGCUGGCGGCGUGCUUAACACAUGCAAGUCGAACGGUGAAGCGCCUUCCUUUUUGGUGGGUGUGGAUGAGUGGCGAACGGGUGAGUAACACGUGAGUAACCUGCCCCCUUCUUCUGGAUAACCGCAUGAAAGUGUGGCUAAUACGGGAUAUUCUGGGUCUGUCGCAUGAUGGGUCUGGGAAAGAUAUUGUUUCGGUGGGGGAUGGGCCCGCGGCCUAUCAGCUUGUUGGUGGGGUGAUGGCCUACCAAGGCGGUGACGGGUAGCCGGCCUGAGAGGAUGGGCGGUCACACGGAGGAGGAGACGCGGCCCAGACUCCGAGGGGAGGCAGCAGUGGGGAAUAUGGCACAAUGGGCGCAAGGCUGAUGCAGCGACGCGGCGUGAGGGAUGGAGGCCGGCGGGUUGUGAACCUCUUUCGCCAGUGAAGCAGGCCUGCCUCGUUUGUGGGUGGGUUGACGGUAGCUGGAUAAGAAGCGCCGGCUAACUACGUG
rnacentral:rRNA from 1 species